UGAAAUUCAGUUUUCCUCAAGCCCACAUCUCCAUCUUUCCUUUUAAAUACAAGAGUUGAGUGCAGCCCAGGGGUGCAGUGAUUACACAGGAGGAAUUCUCAGGAAAGAGCAUCAAAAACUGCUAUUACUUGAGAUGGAGGUUACAUUCCUGCCAUGGAUUCUGGUGCCUGCCGAUGACAACACAGGGAGAAUUUCUCCAAAGGAAAAGAAUUGGCUUGCCUUCUAGAUGGAUGUGGUCAUGGAUCCAGUCUUCUACAG